rnacentral:rRNA from 1 species
AUGAAGUUCACCAAGAGGUACGAGACGUACAUGCGGGGGAUCAGGACGGCGGAGCAGGAGCUCCCCGCCGUGGGCCUCAAGCGCCUCAAGAAGAUGCUCAAGAAAUGCCGCUCCCACCGCAGCCCGCACCACAAAACCACGUCCUCCUCCUCCGACGCCGAGGCCGACGGCAGCCGCCGGUGCCCCGGCCAUUGCUCCGUGUGUGAUGGCAGUUUCUUCCCGUCCCUUCUCGACGAGAUGUCAGCCGUCGUUGGCUGCUUCAACGAGAAGGCCAAGAAGCUCCUUGAACUGCACUUGGCGUCGGGGUUCAAGAAAUAUGUCAUGUGGUUCAGCAACAGGUGUCACAGGAACCAUGGGCAGUUAAUACAGCAAGGCAAAGACUUGGUCACGUAUGCGAUUAUAAACGCCGUGGCGAUGAGGAAGAUCCUGAAGAAGUAUGACAAGAUACAUUAUUCGAAGCAAGGGCAGGAGUUCAAAGCGCAAGCCCAGAGCCUGCACAUUGAGAUACUUCAGUCCCCAUGGCUGUCUGAGCUAAUGGCUUUCUACAUGAACCUGAGAAGAAGCAAGAAGAACGAGACUGCGAUGGAGCUCUUUGGUGACUGCUCGCUCACAUUUGAUGACGACCAGCCAACGCUCUCAUGCAACCUCUUUGAUUCUAUGCGAGUUGACAUUAGCUUGACAUGUUCAGUUUGCUUGGACACGAUGUUUGAUCCAGUCUCUCUUUCCUGUGGCCACAUAUUUUGCUACUUGUGCUGCUGCUCUGCUGCAUCGGUGACGAUUGUCGAUGGGUUGAAGUCCGCAGAUCACAGAUCAAAGUGCCCUUUGUGCCGACAGGCUGGGGUCUUUCCUAAUGCUGUGCACUUGGACGAGCUGAACAUGCUACUAAGCUAUAGUUGUCCGGAGUACUGGGAGAAGAGAAUGCAGAUGGAACGAGUUGAGCGUGUUCGUCUGGCUAAGGAGCACUGGGAGUCCCAGUGCAGAGCAUUCUUGGGCGUCUGA